CCUACGGGAGGCUGCAGUGGGGAAUAUUGGACAAUGGGGGCAACCCUGAUCCAGCCAUGCCGCGUGUGUGAAGAAGGCCCUCGGGUUGUAAAGCACUUUCAGUGAGGAAGAACGCCUGGUGGUUAAUACCCAUCAGGAAAGACAUCACUCACAGAAGAAGCACCGGCUAACUCCGUGCCAGCAGCCGCGGUAAUACGGAGGGUGCGAGCGUUAAUCGGAAUUACUGGGCGUAAAGCGCGCGUAGGUGGCUUGAUAAGCCGGUUGUGAAAGCCCCGGGCUCCACCUGGGAACGGCAUCCGGAACUGUCAAGCUAGAGUGCAGGAGAGGAAGGUAGAAUUCCCGGUGUAGCGGUGAAAUGCGUAGAGAUCGGGAGGAAUACCAGUGGCGAAGGCGGCCUUCUGGACUGACACUGACACUGAGGUGCGAAAGCGUGGGUAGCAAACAGGAUUAGAUACCCCAGUAGUC
rnacentral:rRNA from 1 species